AUGACUGACUCUGUGUGUUUGCAUAUGUGUCCUGCCUCUCUGCUCACAGCUGUUAAGAGGCCAGUGUUGAUCAGUGGCUGUCCAGGCCUUUCAGAGCCACUCACACACCAGCAGCACAAUGAUGAUGUCACUGACUCUACUGCUGGCCACCCUGGGGCUCCUUGUUCAGGGUUCAUCAGCAGAAAUCGUCCUGACUCAGACUCCCAAAGCUCAGUCUGUUGUUCCAGGACAGACUGUCUCUAUCAGAUGUAAAUCCAGUACAUCUAUAGGUGAUGACAUUGACUGGUACCUUCAGAAAUCUGGAAAAGCUCCUAAACUCCUGAUUGUGGAUACUACAGCUCGUCAGUCUGGAGUUCCAGAUCGUUUUCGGGCAACAGCAGUUCAGACUGACUUCACUCUGAUCAUCAGUGGAGUUCAAACUGAAGAUGCAGGAGUUUAUUACUGUCAGCAGCAUAACAGCUUCCCGUUCACACAGUGAUACAACGCCGUACAAAAACCUCAAACAGCUGAAGAGGAACUGAUCAACAGCUGUAGGUACACAAUACACCA